ACGUAUCCCAUAAGUGGGGGACAACCUAGCGAAAGUUAGGCUAAUACCGCAUACGCUCGAGAGAGGAAAGUGGGGGAUCGCAAGACCUCACGCUUUAGGAGCGGCCGAUAUCAGAUUAGCUAGAUGGUGAGGUAAAGGCUUACCAUGGCGACGAUCUGUAGCUGGUCUGAGAGGAUGAUCAGCCACACUGGGACUGAGACACGGCCCAGACUCCUACGGGAGGCAGCAGUGGGGAAUUUUGGACAAUGGGGGCAACCCUGAUCCAGCCAUUCCGCGUGAGUGAAGAAGGCCUUCGGGUUGUAAAGCUCUUUUGUUCGGGACGAAACGGUUUCACCUAAUACGUGAGACUACUGACGGUACCGGAAGAAUAAGCACCGGCUAACUACGUGCCAGCAGCCGCGGUAAU
rnacentral:rRNA from 1 species